rnacentral:rRNA from 1 species
CCCGCGGCCUAUCAGGUAGUUGGUGAGGUAACGGCUCACCAAGCCGACGACGGGUAGGGGGCGUGAGAGCGUGGCCCCCCACACGGGAACUGAGACACGGUCCCGACGCCUACGGGCGGCAGCAGUGAGGAAUCUUGCCCAAUGGGGGAAACCCUGAGGCAGCGACACCGCGUGCGGGAUGAAGGCCUUCGGGUCGUAAACCGCUUUUCUGGGGGACGAGUAAGGACGGUACUCCAGGAAUAAGUCCCGGCUAACUACGUGCCAGCAGCCGCGGUAAAACGUAGGGGGCGAGCGUUAUCCGGAAUCACUGGGCGUAAAGGGCGUCUAGGCGGCAGCCUAAGUCCCGUGUGAAAGCUCCCGGCUCAACUGGGAGAGGGCAUGGGAGACUGGGCAGCUAGAGACUCGGAGGGGGGUGUGGAAUUCCCGGUGGAGUGGUGGAAUGCGUUGAGAUCGGGAGGAACACCAGUAGCGAAGGCGGCACCCUGGCCGAGAUCUGACGCUGAAGCGCGAGAGCGUGGGGAGCGAACGGGAUUAGAUACCCCGGUAGUCCACGCCGUAAACGAUGACAACUAGGUGUUGGGUGUCCAAGGAUGCUCAGUACCGCAGCAAACGCGAUAA